CCAGACUCCUACGGGAGGCAGCAGUGGGGAAUAUUGCACAAUGGGCGCAAGCCUGAUGCAGCCAUGCCGCGUGUAUGAAGAAGGCCUUCGGGUUGUAAAGUACUUUCGGCGGGGAGGAAGGCGAUAAGGUUAAUAACCUUGUCGAUUGACGUUACCCGCAGAAGAAGCACCGGCUAACUCCGUGCCAGCAGCCGCGGUACUACGGAUGGUGCAAGCGUUAAUCGGAAUUACUGGGCGUAAAGCGCACGCAGGCGGUCUGUAAAGUCGGAUGUGAAAUCACCGGGCUCAACCUGGGAACUACAUUGGAAACGGGCAGGCUGGAGUCUUGUAGAGGGGGGGAGAAUUCCAGGUGUAGCGGUGAAAUGCGUAGAGAUCGGGAGGAAUACAGGUGGCGAAGGCGGCCCCCUGGACAAAGACUGACG
rnacentral:rRNA from 1 species